GCCGGGAGUCGGGCGGACGAGGCAGUCGCCAACCUGGUCAGGUCCGGAAGGAAGCAGCCACAACGACAAAGUUUCGGGUCGUUCCGGCUCCCACCUCG
rnacentral:SRP_RNA from 1 species